rnacentral:lncRNA from 1 species
AUAUUAUUGAACAAGAAGGGGACAGAGAAGUCGAGAGAGACGUACGCACGCAUGACAUAUGAGAUGAGACAGCAACAUUAAUUAAUUAUCCAGCUUAAUUAAUAACGCACGUAAUUAUAUUGAUGAUUAACUUUUAGAGAGAUAGACAGAUACAUACAUGCACUGAUUAUAUUGAUUAAAUUUAUAUGCCUGAGAGAAGAUAAUCAAACGUCAUAGGCUUAAAGACAUUAGAUGCCUGAGUCUCAAUCAAGUCCAACUGCUUCUCCGA